rnacentral:lncRNA from 1 species
AUGAUGAAGAUUGUAAUAAUAUUGUUAGUAGUGAUCUGGGUACCGGCUACAGCGAUACCAGGAAUGUGUCAUUUCACCCCCCAAGUUACAGCACAAGUGGGACAAAAUGUCACUUUGCAGUGCUGUUUUGAUGCUUCAUUGAAUUUAAGAACUCGGACAGUUGACUGGAAAAAAGAUGACAAGCAGGUGGUCCACGUCUACCGCGAUAGAAAGGACUGUCCUGAUCUACAGGAAACGCAGUUCAGACACAGGACAGCUCUAAGGCAUGAAGACCUGAGCAGAGGAGUCAUGACACUGCAGAUCUUGGCUCAGCUCAGUGACACUGGCAACUUCUCCUGUAAUGUGCCAAAAGGCCGGGGUUCAGAAAUGCUCUCCCAGCGAGUCAUGCUCAUUGUGAUGAACACAAGAGAAGUCCAUGCCAACACAACAAGGUCUCCGAAGGAAGACGAGAUGACCACAUCUGACUUUCUUGUUUCUUCAGAAGGGAAGAACACCGGUGUCAUUGCCUUUGCCUGGGUUUGUCUUGGCCUCUUUGGAGCUGGUCUUUUUGGGGCUGGUCUUGGAGUCCUGGUUGAAUGGAGAAAGAUCCGUACAAGAUCUUUCGGAGAAAGCUCCGAGACUCCAGCGUUGGAGGAUGCAAACAUCUGUCAAAUGGAGACUCUGAUGAACCCAAAUGACCUGGGACACACUGAGCAACAAGUGACUUGA